rnacentral:rRNA from 1 species
CAAUAGCGUAUAUUUAAGUUGCUGCAGUUAAAAAGCUCGUAGUUGGAUUUCGGGUGGGAAUGGCCGGUCCGCCGUUUCGGUGUGCACUUGCUACGCCCACCUUGCUGCCGGGGACGUGCUCUUGAGUUCACGCUCGGGACACGGAGUCGGCGAGGUUACUUUGAGUAAAUUAGAGUGUUCAAAGCAGGCCUACGCUCUGAAUACAUUAGCAUGGAAUAACACGAUAGGACUCUGGCCUAUCUUGUUGGUCUGUAGGACCGGAGUAAUGAUUAAGAGGGACAGUCGGGGGCAUUCGUAUUUCAUUGUCAGAGGUGAAAUUCUUGGAUUUAUGAAAGACGAACUACUGCGAAAGCAUUUGCCAAGGAUGUUGUCAUUAA